AUUGAACGCUGGCGGCAUGCCUUACACAUGCAAGUCGAACGGUAACGGGCCUUCGGGUGCCGACGAGUGGCGAACGGGUGAGUAAUACAUCGGAACGUGCCCGAUCGUGGGGGAUAACGAGGCGAAAGCUUUGCUAAUACCGCAUACGAUCUACGGAUGAAAGCAGGGGACCGCAAGGCCUUGCGCGGACGGGGCGGCCGAUGGCAGAUUAGGUAGUUGGUGGGAUAAAAGCUUACCAAGCCGACGAUCUGUAGCUGGUCUGAGAGGAUGAUCAGCCACACUGGGACUGAGACACGGCCCAGACUCCUACAGGAGGCAGCAGUGGGGAAUUUUGGACAAUGGGCGCAAGCCUGAUCCAGCCAUGCCGCGUGCAGGAUGAAGGCCUUCGGGUUGUAAACUGCUUUUGUACGGAACGAAAAGCCUUCUUUUAAUACAGGAGGGUCAUGACGGUACCGUAAGAAUAAGCACCGGCUAACUACGUG
rnacentral:rRNA from 1 species